UACGUAGGGUGCAAGCGUUAAUCGGAAUUACUGGGCGUAAAGCGUGCGCGGGCGGUUUUGUAAGUCUGAUGUGAAAUCCCCGGGCUCAACCUGGGAAUUGCAUUGGAGACUGCAAGGCUAGAAUCUGGCAGAGGGGGGUAGAAUACCACGUGUAGCAGUGAAAUGCGUAGAGAUGUGGAGGAACACCGAUGGCGAAGGCAGCCCCCUGGGUCAAGAUUGACGCUCAUGCACGAAAGCGUGGGGAGCGAACAGG
rnacentral:rRNA from 1 species